CCUACGGGAGGCAGCAGUGAGGAAUAUUGGUCAAUGGACGAGAGUCUGAACCAGCCAAGUAGCGUGAAGGAUGACUGCCCUAUGGGUUGUAAACUUCUUUUAUAUGGGAAUAAAAUGUUCCACGUGUGGGAUUUUGUAUGUACCAUAUGACUAAGGAUCGGCUAACUCCGUGCCAGCAGCCGCGGUAAUACGGGGGAUCCGAGCGUUAUCCGGAUUUAUUGGGUUUAAAGGGAGCGUAGGUGGAUUGUUAAGGCAGUUGUGAAAGUUUGCGGCUCAACCGUAAAAUUGCCGUUGAAACUGGCAGUCUUGAGUACAGUAGAGGUGGGCGGAAUUCGUGGUGUAGCGGUGAAAUGCUUAGAUAUCACGAAGAACUCCGAUUGCGAAGGCAGUUCACUGGACUGCAACUGACACUGAGGCUCGAAAGUGUGGGUAUCAAACAGGAUUAGAUACCCUUGUAGUC
rnacentral:rRNA from 1 species